ensembl:lncRNA
GGAAAAUAUUGUAGCAGCGCAUAAGCAUCCCGACCUUUCCUUCAUCCCAUUGUCUUUCUCAAAUGGUCAAGAAAGCAUAUGGGUGUUCCUCAGGGUGGGACCUUCAACUCCUUUGCGAAUAGCUUGUCAGUCCUCGAGCCUGAAGCAAAGGAGGGGUUUGAUAUAAAGCAGUCUCAUCUGUGUUUGGAUAUGCAUUAUGAUUCCAGGCUUUCCCUUCUUCACAAGAUUUAAAAAAUCUUCUGGAACAUUUACUCUGCAAUUGGACUUUAAGGAGUUUUACACAUGACAGACAGCCUACAAAAAGGUUCCAAGGAACACCCCACCUUCCAAGCAUUUGGUUCUGUCAUAUUUACACAUAAAAGCUGACCAUGACCACCAUAAAUGCCCCUGUGUGUCUCCUUGCUCGGAAUGAGUUUUAUCGGAGCAUCUGCCCGACAGACAAAAUGAAGGCAGUCAGUAGUCUUUCUGAUAACUUAAUGGAACCAAAGCAAAGACAAGUGACUGUCUGGGUGACCAAAUCCAAGCACCAAGGUUUAGGGUCUAUGAGUGAUGGCUGGACAAUAAAUGUGGUUUUAAAGAGCCCGGCAUCCAGCGGAACCUCUUCCAAAUGACAAAGUCCUGCUGAUCGUGUGGUGAAGUAGACAUCUGCACAAGAAUAGCGUAUAGAGCUCUGGAAAAAAAAUGCUUCUCUACAGACACAAUAUGUGAAUGUGCUGCUUAAAAGUGCUGUUCCAAUAAUUAUUCUAUUCUUCUUUUUAGAGAUAGAGAUCUUUUUCAUGCUAGAGAAUAAUUAUUUUUAGUUUAUACGCUAUCGUUCAGACUUUUGGGGUUAUUAAGUCUCUUCUGUUCACCAA